UAGAGUUUGAUCCUGGCUCAGGAUGAACGCUAGCUACAGGCUUAACACAUGCAAGUCGAGGGGCAGCGGGAUUGAAGCUUGCUUCAAUUGCCGGCGACCGGCGCACGGGUGAGUAACGCGUAUCCAACCUUCCGUACACUCAGGGAUAGCCUUUCGAAAGAAAGAUUAAUACCUGAUGGUAUGAUGAGAUUGCAUGAUAGCAUCAUUAAAGAUUUAUCGGUGUACGAUGGGGAUGCGUUCCAUUAGGUAGUAGGCGGGGUAACGGCCCGCCUAGCCAACGAUGGAUAGGGGUUCUGAGAGGAAGGUCCCCCACAUUGGAACUGAGACACGGUCCAAACUCCUACGGGAGGCAGCAGUGAGGAAUAUUGGUCAAUGGACGAGAGUCUGAACCAGCCAAGUAGCGUGAAGGAUGAAGGUCCUACGGAUUGUAAACUUCUUUUAUAAGGGAAUAAACCCUCCCACGUGUGGGAGCUUGUAUGUACCUUAUGAAUAAGCAUCGGCUAACUCCGUGCCAGCAGCCGCGGUAAUACGGAGGAUGCGAGCGUUAUCCGGAUUUAUUGGGUUUAAAGGGAGCGCAGACGGGUCGUUAAGUCAGCUGUGAAAGUUUGGGGCUCAACCUUAAAAUUGCAGUUGAUACUGGCGUCCUUGAGUGCGGUUGAGGUGUGCGGAAUUCGUGGUGUAGCGGUGAUAUGCUUAGAUAUCACGAAGAACCCCGAUUGCGAAGGCAGCUUGCUAAACUGUAACUGACGCUGAUGCUCGAAAGUGUGGGUAUCAAACAGGAUUAGAUACCCUGGUAGUCCACACAGUAAACGAUGAAUACUCGCUGUUUGCGAUAUACAGUAAGCGGCCAAGCGAAAGCGUUAAGUAUUCCACCUGGGGAGUACGCCGGCAACGGUGAAACUCAAAUGACA
rnacentral:rRNA from 1 species